rnacentral:piRNA from 1 species
UGAAGAUGCCAUGUCCCCUGUCCCC